rnacentral:rRNA from 1 species
GGGUACACGAGCGGCGAACGGGUGAGUAACACGUGAGCAACCUGCCCCUGACUCCGGGAUAAGCGGUGGAAACGCCGUCUAAUACCGGAUACGACCCGCCACCUCAUGGUGGAGGGUGGAAAGUUUUAUCGGUCAGGGAUGGGCUCGCGGCCUAUCAGCUUGUUGGUGGGGUAACGGCCUACCAAGGCGAUUACGGGUAGCCGGCCUGAGAGGGCGACCGGCCACACUGGGACUGAGACACGGCCCAGACUCCUGCGGGAGGCAGCAGUGGGGAAUAUUGCACAAUGGGCGAAAGCCUGAUGCAGCGACGCCGCGUGGGGGAUGACGGCCUUCGGGUUGUAAACCUCUUUUACCACCAACGCAGGCUCCACGUUCUCGUGGGGUUGACGGUAGGUGGGGAAUAAGGACCGGCUAACUACGUGCCAGCAGCCGCGGUAAUACGUAGGGUCCGAGCGUUGUCCGGAAUUAUUGGGCGUAAAGAGCUCGUAGGCGGCAUGUCGCGUCUGCUGUGAAAGACCGGGGCUUAACUCCGGUUCUGCAGUGGAUACGGGCAUGCUAGAGGUAGGUAGGGGAGACUGGAAUUCCUGGUGUAGCGGUGAAAUGCGCAGAUAUCAGGAGGAACACCGGUGGCGAAGGCGGGUCUCUGGGCCUUACCUGACGCUGAGGAGCGAAAGCAUGGGGAGCGAACAGGAUUAGAUACCCUGGUAGUCCAUGCCGUAAACGUUGGGCGCUAGGUGUGGGGACUUUCCACGGUUUCCGCGCCGUAGCUAACGCAUUAAGCGCCCCGCCUGGGGAGUACGGCCGCAAGGCUAAAACUCAAAGGAAUUGACGGGGGCCCGCACAAGCGGCGGAGCAUGUUGCUUAAUUCGACGCAACGCGAAGAACCUUACCAAGGUUUGACAUCACCCGUGGACCUGUAGAGAUACAGGGUCAUUUAGUUGGUGGGUGACAGGUGGUGCAUGGCUGUCGUCAGCUCGUGUCGUGAGAUGUUGGGUUAAGUCCCGCAACGAGCGCAACCCUUGUUCCAUGUUGCCAGCACGUAAUGGUGGGGACUCAUGGGAGACUGCCGGGGUCAACUCGGAGGAAGGUGGGGACGACGUCAAGUCAUCAUGCCCCUUAUGUCUUGGGCUGCAAACAUGCUACAAUGGCCGGUACAAUGGGCGUGCGAUACCGUAAGGUGGAGCGAAUCCCUUAAAGCCGGUCUCAGUUCGGAUUGGGGUCUGCAACUCGACCCCAUGAAGGUGGAGUCGCUAGUAAUCGCGGAUCAGCAACGCCGCGGUGAAUACGUUCCCGGGCCUUGUACACACCGCCCGUCACGUCAUGAAAGUCGGCAACACCCGAAAC